CCUACGGGAGGCAGCAGUGAGGAAUAUUGGUCAAUGGACGAGAGUCUGAACCAGCCAAGUAGCGUGAAGGAUGACUGCCCUAUGGGUUGUAAACUUCUUUUAUAUGGGAAUAAAAUGUUCCACGUGUGGGUUUUUGUAUGUACCAUAUGAAUAAGGAUCGGCUAACUCCGUGCCAGCAGCCGCGGUAAUACGGAGGAUCCGAGCGUUAUCCGGAUUUAUUGGGUUUAAAGGGAGCGUAGGUGGGUUGUUAAGUCAGUUGUGAAAGUUUGCGGCUCAACCGUAAAAUUGCAGUUGAAACUGGCAGUCUUGAGUACAGUAGAGGUGGGCGGAAUUCGUGGUGUAGCGGUGAAAUGCUUAGAUAUCACGAAGAACCCCGAUUGCGAAGGCAGCUCACUGGACUGCAACUGACACUGAGGCUCGAAAGUGUGGGUAUCAAACAGGAUUAGAUACCCCUGUAGUC
rnacentral:rRNA from 1 species